rnacentral:rRNA from 1 species
CAGUAGCCGCGGUAAAACGGAGGGGGCUAGCGUUGUUCGGAAUUACUGGGCGUAAAGCGUGCGUAGGCGGCUUCUUAAGUCGGAUGUGAAAUCCCUGAGCUUAACUUAGGAAUUGCAUUCGAUACUGGGAAGCUAGAGUAUGGGAGAGGAUGGUAGAAUUCCAGGUGUAGCGGUGAAAUGCGUAGAGAUCUGGAGGAAUACCGAUGGCGAAGGCAGCCAUCUGGCCUAAUACUGACGCUGAGGUACGAAAGCAUGGGGAGCAAACAGGAUUAGAUACCCCUGUAGUCCCUGUCUCUUAUAC